rnacentral:rRNA from 1 species
UAUACCGUGAAACUGCGAAUGGCUCAUUAAAUCAGUUAUCGUUUAUUUGAUAGUACCUUACUACUUGGAUAACCGUGGUAAUUCUAGAGCUAAUACAUGCUAAAAACCUCGACUUCGGAAGGGGUGUAUUUAUUAGAUAAAAAACCAAUGCCCUUCGGGGCUCACUGGUGAUUCAUAAUAACUUAACGAAUCGCAUGGCCUUGUGCCGGCGAUGGUUCAUUCAAAUUUCUGCCCUAUCAACUUUCGAUUGUUGGGUCUUGGCCAACAAUGGUUUCAACGGGUAACGGGGAAUUAGGGUUCUAUUCCGGAGAGGGAGCCUGAGAAACGGCUACCACAUCCAAGGAAGGCAGCAGGCGCGCAAAUUACCCAAUCCUGAUUCAGGGAGGUAGUGACAAUAAAUACUGAUACAGGGCUCUUUUGGGUCUUGUAAUUGGAAUGAGUACAAUUUAAAUCCCUUAACGAGGAACAAUUGGAGGGCAAGUCUGGUGCCAGCAGCCGCGGUAAUUCCAGCUCCAAUAGCGUAUAUUAAAGUUGUUGCAGUUAAAAAGCUCGUAGUUGAACCUUGGGCCUGGCUGGCCGGUCCGCCUCACCGCGUGCACUGGUCCGGCCGGGCCUUUCCUUCUGGGGAGCCGCAUGCCCUUCACUGGGUGUGUCGGGGAACCAGGACUUUUACUUUGAAAAAAUUAGAGUGUUCAAAGCAGGCCUAUGCUCGAAUACAUUAGCAUGGAAUAAUAGAAUAGGACGUGUGGUUCUAUUUUGUUGGUUUCUAGGACCGCCGUAAUGAUUAAUAGGGACAGUUGGGGGCAUCAGUAUUUAAUUGUCAGAGGUGAAAUUCUUGGAUUUAUUAAAGACUAACUACUGCGAAAGCAUUUGCCAAAGAUGUUUUCAUUAAUCAGUGAACGAAAGUUAGGGGAUCGAAGACGAUCAGAUACCGUCGUAGUCUUAACCAUAAACUAUGCCGACUAGGGAUCGGGCGAUGUUAUCUUUUUGACUCGCUCGGCACCUUACGAGAAAUCAAAGUCUUUGGGUCUGGGGG